rnacentral:rRNA from 1 species
CCUACGGGAGGCAGCAGUGAGGAAUAUUAGACAAUGGGCGAAAGCCUGAUCUAGCCAUGCCGCGUGCAGGAUGACGGCCCUAUGGGUUGUAAACUGCUUUUAUACAGGAAGAAAAAACUCUACGUGUAGAGUCUUGACGGUACUGUAAGAAUAAGGAUCGGCUAACUCCGUGCCAGCAGCCGCGGUAAUACGGAGGAUCCAAGCGUUAUCCGGAAUUAUUGGGUUUAAAGGGUCCGUAGGUGGACAAUUAAGUCAGAGGUGAAAUCCUGCAGCUCAACUGUAGAAUUGCCUUUGAAACUGGUUGUCUUGAGUCAUUAUGAAGUGGUUAGAAUGUGUAGUGUAGCGGUGAAAUGCAUAGAUAUUACACAGAAUACCAAUUGCGAAGGCAGAUCACUAAUAAUGUACUGACACUGAUGGACGAAAGCGUGGGUAGCGAACAGGAUUAGAUACCCUGGUAG